GGAAAAACAUGCAGAGGAAAAAACCAUGCAGAGGGAUAAAACACAGAGUGGGAACGAUAUAAAGAAUUUGAGGAAAAUAAAUAAGAGGAAAUUUGUCCUAGUGGGGUUGCCGUAAUGUCUCCGGCGCAUGCGCAGUUGCGCCAGGAAGCCGCUGACGGCAGUCCACGGAGGAUACAAUGGUGGUGGGAGCACUAUUUAGGGUGGAUCUCCUAAGGAAAAAAAAAAA